UACAGAGGUGGCAAGCGUUGUUCGGAAUUACUGGGCGUAAAGGGCGCGUAGGCGGCCCUGUAAGUCCCGCGUGAAAUCCCUCGGCUCAACUGGGGAACUGCGCGGGAAACUGCUGGGCUUGAAUUCGGGAGAGGGAAGCGGAAUUCCGGGUGUAGCGGUGAAAUGCGUAGAUAUCCGGAGGAACACCGGUGGCGAAGGCGGCUUCCUGGACCGACAUUGACGCUGAGGCGCGAAAGCUAGGGGAGCAAACGGG
rnacentral:rRNA from 1 species